GAUGAACGCUGGCGGCGUGCCUAAUACAUGCAAGUCGAGCGAACAGACGAGGAGCUUGCUCCUCUGACGUUAGCGGCGGACGGGUGAGUAACACGUGGAUAACCUACCUAUAAGACUGGGAUAACUUCGGGAAACCGGAGCUAAUACCGGAUAAUAUAUUGAACCGCAGGGUGCAAUAGUGAAAGACGGUUUUGCUGUCACUUAUAGAUGGAUCCGCGCCGCAUUAGCUAGUUGGUAAGGUAACGGCUUACCAAGGCAACGAUGCGUAGCCGACCUGAGAGGGUGAUCGGCCACACUGGAACUGAGACACGGUCCAGACUCCUACGGGAGGCAGCAGUAGGGAAUCUUCCGCAAUGGGCGCAAGCCUGACGGAGCAACGCCGCGUGAGUGAUGAAGGUCUUCGGAUCGUAAAACUCUGUUAUUAGGGAAGAACAACUGUGUGAGUAACUCUGCCCGUCUUGACGGUACCUAAUCAGAAAGCCCCGGCUAACUACGUG
rnacentral:rRNA from 1 species